CAGACUUUCCAGGAGGGCGCUGAGCAGGAAGCCGACUUUCUGCUGAGAUGAACUGACCUGUUGACGCACUCCACUGAGAACUCCAGGAUGAGGAAGGACAGACAGACCCAUACGAUGUGGUUACUUUUACUUUGCAUAUUGCUCCUAGACUCAUGUACAGCCACUGAGUCCUGCACAGCUACGUCUUAUUGGUCUGACUGUUUCCUUGUUGGCUUGAUCGGUGGCUUGGCUUGUGGCCUGCCAUUGAUUAUAAGUGUCCUUAUUGUCUUGAGAUGCAAAAAUUCAACAAUCAGGUCAUAUAAUUCCUCUGCAAAAAGGGAAGAUCUGAGUGAAAAAAAGGCUCAGCUGCAGAAACAAUCCCAGAAGACACAAGAAGAACUGGCUGCAUGGGCGGUGGUAUUAACUCCAUUGAUGGAUCUGAAGAGGGGACUGUGGGGUCAAAGGGAAGAAUUCAGACUGCAGCUAGACGAGAUCAACAAAGAGAGGGAGGAGAGCAAGGAAAAGCUUCAGUUAGUGGAAGAGGCAAUAGCAGAGAGUGAGAAAGAAAAGGCAACCGACAAAACAGAAGGGUACUUGAGAGAAAAACAAAGCCUGUUGAAGGCUCAGUGGAAACUGGAGAAGAGAAAAGAAGAACUGGAGAACCAGCAACUGAACAUGGAGAAACUGCUGCAGAAAACAGAGGGUACCAUAGCAACAAUAACAGAGAGACAGAGGAAAGUGGAGAACCACAUGGAGCUGAUUAACUUGCACCUGGAAGAGGUAGAAAGUCAGGAUGAUAAAGCUCAUCUAAAUAUAGAGUAGUCAGAAAGUUUAUCAUGUAUACCUGUACAGUCAAUACUGUUUCCUUUCUGCUGGGUCAUUAUUAACACUUUUAAUACUAAGUGACCCUCACAGACAUUUUUGUUUAUACAAAAAAAAACUGUAGUAGUUGUAAGUAAAAAUGGUCCCACUUUAAAGAUGUACGUAAAUUUUGACUCAGUCCUAAAACAAAUACGAAUAAGAUUAAAUACGCCUGUAUCAUAAUUUUGAUAUGGGUCAUGUAUACCGCAUAUUGCUUUUGGGCCUUAGUCUGAAUUUAACAUUUCUGUUUUGUGGACUUGUCUCCAGCUAGUUUGAAGUUUGCAAUACAUGGCCUCUUGCCUGUUUGUAGUCAGCUCUGUGCAUUGCAUACAAACCAGCUAGCUAGCAAGGCUGAGGUAAUGACACAUGCCUAAAAGAAACACUCACAUAUCUGGUUGGUUGAAGGAAUGAAAGAAAUAGGCUAUAGGUCAGUUUCCACUGAAGAAGUUCCUGGUACUAUUUGGGGGGCAGGAACUACUACAGGAACGUCCUCUCGCUCGGCCCUCUCAACCGCCGUGUCUCCACUGAGAGAGCGGAGUAGGAGGAAGGUUCCUGUAAAGUUACCGGGCUCUGUAUGUGACGUAAUUGUUCCGCAACCAUUUUGACCGGGGCAACGUAGGGGCGUAGGGACGCCGUUAGCCGUUAGCGGUGUCUGUAAUAACUCCGGUCACGGUCCGUGAAAAAAAUAUUUUUUCCAGCGGAUGUCUUAGUUACAACAUGAUUGAGCUAACUGGAGUAGUUUCAUGUCGUAUCCGACAACGGGAGGCUUUUAACGGAUGACGUCCUGAUGUUAGCUUUGCUGCUGCUCUUAGCUGUCCCUGUCAGCUGAUGCUUUCUAGACAUCGUGAUUUCCCAUAACUGAAUAAAUACCACACAUAGCAACACAAAACUGCUUUGCUAGCUCAAUCAUGUUGUAACUAAGAUAUCUGCUGGAAAAAAAUAUUUUUUUCACGGACCAUUUAUUGAGUUAUUACAGACACCGCAAACAGCUAACGGUUAGCCCAGCUAAUCUACGAUAACCAUGUUGUUAUUUACAAAACGUCACAUCCCUCCUUGAGUAUAUCCAGUCAGCACCAAGUAAACCCCAAACCCCAGCCAGGAGUCUUUCGGGGCCGUUCUGAGUACCUACUCCGACGCAGGGACUUGUUUUGCCCCUGUAAAAGUUCAAGAACUCUGUCCUUCGGGGGUGGUUCCUGCGGUGGAGACACGCACCAACAGCCCCGGCCCCGUAAAAUUACCCCGAAGUUCCUGUGGUGGAAUCGGGCCUUAUGUUCCCAUGGUCAAACAAGGCCACCAUCAGUGGAAAACCUUUUAAAAUCCUGAGGCAAAGAAGCAAAAUGGCACAAGCAGCUCCAGACAUUUUACCCAUUUAUAUUUUGACAUGAUAAACAAUGUUAGGUCAUGUUAAUCAGAUUAUGAAUGGCUGCAUGUAAAUGAGAAUAUUACUUAUUACUCUAUGUGUCAGCCCUGUGACAGUCUGGUGACCUGUCCAGGGUGAACCCUGCCUCUUGCCCAGUGUCAGCUGGGACAGGCUCCAGCCCCCUGCAAUGCUCAAGAGGAUAAGCGGUUACGGAAAAUGAAUUAAUGUAAUACUAUGGUGAUUUGCUUUAUUCCUCUGUAAAAAAAAUAAAUUCAAAAUCACAUGAUUGUGUGUGUGUGUGUGUGUGUGUGUGUGUGUGUGUGUGUGUGUGAGAUUAAUGUGAUCUCAAUCUCUGAUUUUAUCUGUCCGGAAUACUUUUUUCCAUCAGAAUUAAAGCAGUAAAUCCAAUUUAGGCUUUUAUUUUUGUAUUUUAUGAAAACAGUAAAAGGAAAAAUGACAGUCGAUGUAAAAUUAUAGACUCUAUUAACAACUAUGGAAAGUAAAUCAAAGUAGCCUAAC